rnacentral:misc_RNA from 1 species
CAACCCUCAAGCUCUGCUUGGUAUUGGGUCUCGCCGUCUGCCGGCGGGCCUUAAAAUCAGUGGCGGUGCCGCCCGGGCUCCAAGCGUAGUAGCAUCUCUCGCUCUGGAAGUUCGGUGGUUGCUGGCCAGAUGAACCCCUAAUUUCUUCUAU